UGCAGUUAAAAAGCUCGUAGUUGGAUUUCUGCGUCGGGUGGGGCCGCCUGGUUUCCCUCAAGGGGCCGUGGUCGUGUCCCCCGCCUGCGCAUCCUGCCGCGAUCGGCGCUGCUCUUAGUUGAGCGGCGUUUCCCGGGACCGGCUCGUUUACUUUGAGAAAAAUAGAGUGUUCAAAGCAGGCCACCUCGCCUUGAAUAAGUUAGCAUGGAAUAAUGAUAAAGGACUUCGGUUCUAUUUUCGUUGGUUGCCGCGGACUGAAGUAAUGAUUGAUAGGGACAGUUGGGGGCGUCAGUAUUCUGGAGCGAGAGGUGAAAUUCUUAGACCUCCGGAGGACUAACCGCUGCGAAAGCGUUCGCCAAGGAUGUUCCCUUUGAUCAAGAACGAAAGUUGGGGGAUCGAAGACGAUCAGAUACCGUCGUAGUCUCAACUAUAAACUAUACCAGCUAGGGAUCGGCCGCCGUUGGAAUUUCGAGACUCGGUCGGCACCUUAUGAGAAAUCAAAGCAUCUGGGUUCCGGGGGGAGUAUGGUCGCAAGGCUGAAACUUAAAGGAAUUGACGGAAGGGCACCACCAGGCGUGGAGCCUGUGGCUUAAUUUGACUCA
rnacentral:rRNA from 1 species